rnacentral:lncRNA from 1 species
UCUAUUGCUCCAUUUCCCUUUUUUGGCAUUUUAGGUACCACUGGAGAAUUGUCUAGAAUGACCAUUAUACCUGGAAGUUCUAACACAGAGGCCACAACUUCCACAAAAGGGACUGGUACUUCUGGAACUGGCUUCAAAACUGGCACCUCUUGGGUGGCGCCUGGCACAACAGUUUCCCCUGGAAGUUUCAGCACAGCCACAAUUUCCCCUGGAGCAAGUAGAACGACUGGGGCUGCACCUGCCGCAGAAACCACAACUUCCCUAGAAGGAGGUGGCACCACUGGAGCAGAAAUAAAAUCAGGAGCCACCUCCGGAGUACCGGGAAGUAAGACAGGCACAGCUGGAGUGCCCUCUGCUACAACAAUUGCCCCUGGGAGCUCCAACUCAGAGGCCACGACUUCUUUAGGAGAAAGUGGAAAAACAAGAGUUGAAACAAUCACAGGUACUACUGAGGGUAAAACUCUGGCAGCUGGAAGUGCCCACACAGAGGCCACAACUUUCUCAGGAGGCAGCGGGAGCACCCGAGCAGGACCACUGGGUGGCGCUUCUGGUACAUCAGGAGGAUAUGUCCCUGGAAGGGAAACAGAGCCCACAACUUCCAUUGAAGAAACUGGAACUUCCAGAACUAUAUUCAAAACUGUAGGCAUCACUUCAGCCCCAGGGAGGCAAGCAGGCACCUCUGUGGUGGCGCCUAGCACAACAGUUGCCCCUGGAAGUUUCAGCACAG